rnacentral:lncRNA from 1 species
AAGCGUCCUCCAAGGCUGCUAAUAAAGGAUGUCCUCCCCCUCCUUCUCUUUUGCUGGCGCUGUCAAGACCUGUCUGGGCUAUUCAACUGCUCCUCUCUUGGUGAGAUACUCCAGCUUCUUGGUUCAGACUCCUAGCCACCUGGCGAAGCUUUGCUGCCUUCCCCCUUGCCUCUGCAGUCUGGGAGCACGUGUUGGCUGUUUGGGUCUAUCAGCAGCAGGGCGAUGA